rnacentral:rRNA from 1 species
GAUGAACGCUGGCGGCAUGCCUAAUACAUGCAAGUCGAACGAGAGGAAGGAAAGCUUGCUUUUCUGAAUCUAGUGGCGAACGGGUGAGUAACACGUAGGUAACCUGCCCAUGUGCCCGGGAUAACUUCUGGAAACGGAUGCUAAAACCGGAUAGGUAGCAGACAAGCAUUUGACUGCUAUUAAAGUGGCCUUGGCCAUGAACAUGGAUGGACCUGCGGUGCAUUAGCUGGUUGGUGAGGUAACGGCCCACCAAGGCGACGAUGCAUAGCCGGCCUGAGAGGGCGGACGGCCACAUUGGGACUGAGACACGGCCCAAACUCCUACGGGUGCAG